rnacentral:rRNA from 1 species
GGUAGUCCACGCCCUAAACGAUGUCGACUGGUUGUUGGGGGUUUGACACUCUCAGUAACGAAGCUAACGCGUGAAGUCGACCGCCUGGGGAGUACGGCCGCAAGGUUAAAACUCAAAGGAAUUGACGGGGACCCGCACAAGCGGUGGAUUAUGUGGAUUAAUUCGAUGCAACGCGAAAAAACCUUACCUACCCUUGACAUGUCCUGGAGGCUGGGGAAACCCGGCUGUGCCCGAAAGGGAACGGGAACACAGGUGCUGCAUGGCUGUCGUCAGCUCGUGUCGUGAGAUGUUGGGUUAAG